rnacentral:lncRNA from 1 species
UACUAGUCCAUCCUUAGGCUGAUCAUGGUAUGCGAGAUAGUGAAUUAUAAAGUAAAUAAGACAUAAGGGUCAGAGGACACUUGCCUUCACCAAACAGAUGCUCAGGGUCUUCAACCUUGUAGAUCUUGAGAAGCUUGAUCUCGGAAUCACCAAAUCUUGAUCGUAGAUUCCUCGAAGAUUAGGGACAGAUCGCGAUCUAUUCGCGACGUGCAACGAAUACAAACAGGCACAAGCAAACAUAUACUUGCAUAAGAACAUUACACCAUAUAAUAUAAAAUAUUAUAAAAAUGAGCAGUAUAAAAAUAGAGAACGCUUCUACGAUUACGCAAGGAUAAGAAACGCGAUAGUCGAAGCUAAGGUCGAGAAGUUAUCACGUUUAAGCUAAACAAGUAUUAGUUAGAACAUUUAGUUCAACAUGGUUAUAUUAAUUGACAUUUAUUAAUUAUAAAUCAAAACUACUACUUAGCUUUAGCUUUGACUAACUUACUAUUUUAAUUGUGGAUGAUUAAAUAAUUAAUUAAUUAACUCACAUGAGUGAUUAUAAGCGAACGAUGCUCGGUAAGGCACGAAAUAGAACGCGGGCGCCACGCAAAACAAAGCGCACGACACCACACGAACAACGCGCGAACGGCACGUCCAAACGACGCGCGGACACACGAGCGAAUGAAUGAUGACAACGCACAAAGAGCGUGCAGAUGACACACGAAAUAACGUGCGCGAUGACGCGCGAAAAGCGUGCAUGACAGCUCUCGCGACACGCGAGAAUCACUAAUAAAUAUCGUGUUUAUACUAAACAAGUGCUAAUUAUAACAUUUGAUUCAACAUUAUCAAAUAUAAAUUAUAACUAUUAUUUAGUUUCGAUUAAUCCGCUACACUAACAACUGUCAGUUAAAUAAGUAGCUUAAUUAACACAUGAGAUUCUAACCGAGGCAAAUUAACGAAGCACGACAAGACGUGGCGUGCGAAAACAAUGUGCGGACGAUGCACAACCACACACGAUUUAGCGCGCGGACGACGCGUGGUAAUGCGCACGGUCCGCCUGCAAGACAAGCGAAGACAACGUGUGGUGACGUGCGACAACACACGAACGACACAUGAACCAGCACACCAUCGCGCACGGAACAACAUGUGCGAUAGACGAGAAAUACUUAAAUAGAUGUCGCGUAUACACUAAGCGAGUAUUAAUUAAAAUAUUUGAGUUGGCAUUAAUCAGAUUAACACGUAUUUGUAAAGCGCAAGUUAGAACUAUAAAUUAGUUUUAAUUGGAAAGUCGUUCUUUAAUCACUAUCGAAUGAAUAAAUAAUUAAUUACUUAAGACAUGCGACAUACCAAAAUAACGUUACUAAUACAAAAUUGAUGUUGUCAUGAAGUUGGCGCGUCUGAAACAACUCGAAACGGGUUUACGGAGUAAAAUAUAUCGAAUACAUAAUAAUUCCCUAAUCAUUACUACGUGGCACAGUUCUAUUGGCUAAUUCGAGGCCACACAAAGGGCCGCGGAAUUGUGGGCAUAGAAAAAUCCACCGACCUAGUGCGCAUCACAUAACGGGAAACGACAACAACCCAAUCAAUUGAGAGCCACCACGUGGCCAAGAUUGGGGAGGUGGAGGGCGUUUCUCCCUAUUCUUCCUGUAACCGCAUAGACGUUUCUCUCUUUCUUCAACCUCCAUCCAUCCACCAUGGAAGCAGCAGCAAGGAGGCUCGGCUAGGGGAAGGGGAGGCUCGCAGCGAGAGUAGGAAGGGCAGCACAAUGUUGCGGCAUGCCCUGGCCAUGGGCGAGCAGGGGCCAAAGGGAGAGGGGCAUGCAGUAGCAGCGCACGAUGGGGAAAUAGGAGGCAGGGCUGGGGCGCUACCUAGGGCUCGGUGUCGCGCACGGAUGCACUCGCCGGGGCUAGGAGGCGCAACAGUCGUGCAGCAGCGGAGCAUGUGUGGGCUGUGUGCCUUGCCGCGAGCUCGCGCCACGACUGCUACGGUGGGGCUGCAGUCAAUCGUGCAAAUAGAAAAUAGAGAAAUAGAGAGGAGAGAUGAACAAGGUACGUCUGACCUUGGGCGUAGGACGACGCUUCUCCGGCGAGCGGUAGUGCUCGAACGCGCGACGACGACGGCAGGACACGGCGGUGAGCACAUCGCUGCGAGGAAUGGUGAGGGACACGGAGCCACGGCGCUGCGUGUCAAGACGACACACGAUGAGGUGAG